AGAGUUUGAUCCUGGCUCAGGAUGAACGCUAGCGGCAGGCUUAAUACAUGCAAGUCGAGGGGCAGCAUGAUUGUAGCAAUACAAUUGAUGGCGACCGGCAAACGGGUGCGGAACACGUACACAACCUUCCAACAAGUGGGGGAUAGCCCAGAGAAAUUUGGAUUAAUACCCCGUAACAUAGCGAUGUGGCAUCACAUUGCUAUUAUAGAUUUUUCGCUUGUUGAUGGGUGUGCGGCUGAUUAGAUAGUUGGCGGGGUAACGGCCCACCAAGUCUACGAUCAGUAGCUGAUGUGAGAGCAUGAUCAGCCACACGGGCACUGAGACACGGGCCCGACUCCUACGGGAGGCAGCAGUAAGGAAUAUUGGACAAUGGACGCAAGUCUGAUCCAGCCAUGCCGCGUGAAGGAUUAAGGUCCUCUGGAUUGUAAACUUCUUUUAUAAGGGACGAAAAAAGGCUUUUCUAAGUCGUCUGACGGUACCUUAUGAAUAAGCACCGGCUAACUCCGUGCCAGCAGCCGCGGUAAUACGGAGGGUGCAAGCGUUAUCCGGAUUCACUGGGUUUAAAGGGUGCGUAGGCGGGCAGGUAAGUCAGUGGUGAAAUCCUAGAGUUUAACUCUAGAACUGCCAUUGAUACUAUCUGUCUUGAAUAUUGUGGAGGUAAGCGGAAUAUGUCAUGUAGCGGUGAAAUGCUUAGAUAUGACAUAGAACACCUAUUGCGAAGGCAGCUUACUACGCAUAUAUUGACGCUGAGGCACGAAAGCGUGGGGAUCAAACAGGAUUAGAUACCCCGGUAGUCCAA
rnacentral:rRNA from 1 species